rnacentral:lncRNA from 1 species
AAGGAUUUAGCUACUUGUCAAUUUAAUUACUAUAUUUAUUAGAUUUAGAUUAAUCAUGCAAAAGACAAAAAUUAAAUUAAUACUAGAUAAAGAUAAAAAGUGAUCCGUUUGAUAAAUUAGAUGUGCUCGGAUCUGCUAAAUCCAUUAACAGUUGUCGGGAUAUUGAUUGUCCUCAAAAAAAUGAAAAAGAAAACAAAAAUAGACAAUAUAAAAAUAAAACAAAAAGAAAACACACAACUAAAACUAGACUACUUGAGCACUUAUAGAAUCCUCACGAUAUCCUCACCUUUUACAACUUAAACAUCAGAUCUAGGCUUCUAUUGAGUAGAUCAGUAGUCCCUAAAUGUUAAACCAC